CACUAUGAGGAUUAUGUUCACCGUGUUGGUCGAACUGGCCGAGCUGGUCGCAAAGGCUGUGCCAUCACAUUUAUUUCUGAGGAUGAUGCAAGAUAUGCACCAGAUCUUGUAAAGGCAUUGCAACUCUCUGAGCAAGUUGUUCCAGAGGACCUGAAAGCUCUUGCAGAUGGCUUUAUGGCCAAAGUGACCCAGGGGCUUGAGCAAGCCCAUGGAACUGGUUAUGGUGGAACUGGUUUUAAAUUCAAUGAAGAGGAGGAUGAAAAGAGGAUAGCAGCUAAAAAAGCACAAGCAAAAGAAUAUGGCUUUGAGGAAGACAAGUCAGAUUCGGAAGAUGAAGAUGAAGGGGUUCGUAAGGCAGGUGGUGACAUCUCACGCCAGGCUGCCUUUGCUCAGCACUUAGUUGCUAUUGCUGCUGCCUCCAAAGGCAGUGCAUCUUCAACACCGACUCCUAUCUCAGC
rnacentral:misc_RNA from 1 species